GUCAGUUUGGCCGAGUGGUUAAGGCGUUGGACUUGAAUAGCCUGGUUCGCCAGAGCAAGCUAUCCAAUGGGGUUCCCCCGCGCAGGUUCAAAUCCUGCAGCUGACG